UAGUGAUGUGUACUUUAAAUGAGGCUC
rnacentral:piRNA from 1 species